AUCCCAUUGGGCCCUGCAAACCUCUUAGACCACGUGGGCCCUGAAAAAGAGAGCAUUGCUCUCCCUUUUCUCCUUUAUGACCUGUGUGACCCUGCAUGAGUAAAAAUACACAGAAGUGAUUACAGACAUGAGUGUGGAGGGAAAUGUAUUGUGAGAGCGCAGCAUGAGGAGGACCAGAGGGACCAGGGGGGCAGAUUGCAGGACACUGCAGAGGACAAGACACAAAGCUCUGAGCACUCUACAGUCUACGCAGAGGACGCACAUUAAGUUUACUGUCAUUACGUUGCCCUCACAGAUGCAUUAUUGAAA